rnacentral:tRNA from 1 species
GGGCGCGUAGCUCAGCGGGAGAGCGUUCCGUUCACACCGGAAAGGUCACUGGUUCAAUCCCAGUCGCGCCCA